AUCUGGAGUGCUCACACUCACUAAAAUAGCAAAAACCUUUCCAUCAGCUUUUACAUAUGUUUGUUCCUCAGUGGCCUUCACAGCCUUAAUUAAUUUGGUUGCAGCCUUAAUAUAAGUAACAACUCUUUUCAAGUUCUCACCACCAUUCUCAAAUUUCCAAGUACCAAAUUGUUGCUCUGUAUUCCCUUGAAGAUCUGCCAAUGAUCUUGGAAAACUUGA
rnacentral:misc_RNA from 1 species